UGUCGACCUCUAGAAUAUUUUUUUAAAUGAAAUAUGAAACAAUAGUUUGAAAUUAUCUUAAAAUGCAAACAGAUGAUGCAUGAAUAAUUAUUCACCAUUUGAAGUGUUACGUUUGCAAAUUUAAAAUCAUGCAAAUAAGAUAUUCUAACAUUGAAAAUAGAUUAUACCUAAUAAAACCUACCAUUUUUAGAAAAAAAACUAAUUAAUUUAAAACACAGCAUUCUGACAACAUUGACAUUUGACUGAUUAGUGUUGACAACAUCCAUUAUUAUGAGAUAUAGAAAGAUAUAGUACGAUGUAGAACAAUGUCUUGUUGCAAGUUAAUACCAUUGUUGGGGACUUUAGAGUUAUCACAGAAACAUCAUAGACUACUUUGGAAAAUAAAACAAAAAAACGAGAUAAGAUAACCCACUUUGAACUGAAGUAAUUUUUGAAUAGGUGAGCGAUUAAAGUUUUGAAAAUAAUUUCGUUGAAAUGAUAUUCUGAAUGUGUAAAAUUAUGAAAAUUUAUCGAAUAAUACUAUUGACUUUUGUAUUUAUAUUGACAGAAAUCGAUUAAAUAUUAUUCCAUUGAAUAAGGUGCCAAAACUAUGCAA